rnacentral:rRNA from 2 species
AAAUUGAAGAGUUUGAUCAUGGCUCAGAUUGAACGCUGGCGGCAGGCCUAACACAUGCAAGUCGAACGGUAACAGGAAGCAGCUUGCUGCUUCGCUGACGAGUGGCGGACGGGUGAGUAAUGUCUGGGAAACUGCCUGAUGGAGGGGGAUAACUACUGGAAACGGUGGCUAAUACCGCAUAACGUCGCAAGACCAAAGAGGGGGACCUUCGGGCCUCUUGCCAUCAGAUGUGCCCAGAUGGGAUUAGCUUGUUGGUGAGGUAACGGCUCACCAAGGCGACGAUCCCUAGCUGGUCUGAGAGGAUGACCAGCCACACUGGAACUGAGACACGGUCCAGACUCCUACGGGAGGCAGCAGUGGGGAAUAUUGCACAAUGGGCGCAAGCCUGAUGCAGCCAUGCCGCGUGUAUGAAGAAGGCCUUCGGGUUGUAAAGUACUUUCAGCGGGGAGGAAGGUGUUGUGGUUAAUAACCGCAGCAAUUGACGUUACCCGCAGAAGAAGCACCGGCUAACUCCGUGCCAGCAGCCGCGGUAAUACGGAGGGUGCAAGCGUUAAUCGGAAUUACUGGGCGUAAAGCGCACGCAGGCGGUCUGUCAAGUCGGAUGUGAAAUCCCCGGGCUCAACCUGGGAACUGCAUUCGAAACUGGCAGGCUUGAGUCUUGUAGAGGGGGGUAGAAUUC